rnacentral:rRNA from 1 species
GAUGAACGCUGGCGGCGUGCCUAAUACAUGCAAGUCGAACGAAACUUCUUUAUCACCGAGUGCUUGCACUCACCGAUAAAGAGUUGAGUGGCGAACGGGUGAGUAACACGUGGGCAACCUGCCCAAAAGAGGGGGAUAACACUUGGAAACAGGUGCUAAUACCGCAUAACCAUAGUUACCGCAUGGUAACUAUGUAAAAGGUGGCUAUACUACCGCUUUUGGAUGGGCCCGCGGCGCAUUAGCUAGUUGGUAGGGUAAAGGCUUACCAAGGCAAUGAUGCGUAGCCGAAUUGAGAGGUUGAUCGGCCACAUUGGGACUGAGACACGGCCCAAACUCCUACGGGAGGCAGCAGUAGGGAAUCUUCCACAAUGGGCGAAAGCCUGAUGGAGCAACGCCGCGUGGGUGAAGAAGGUCUUCGGAUCGUAAAACCCUGUUGUUAGAGAAGAAAGUGCGUGAGAGUAACUGUUCACGUUUCGACGGUAUCUAACCAGAAAGCCACUGCUAACUACGU